GUAAUACCAGCUUGUCAAAAACUGAUAUCGUCAGAUCUCAGAAGCUAAACAGGGCUGGGUCUGGUUAGUACUUGGAUGGGAGACUGUAGAGAAUACCAGGUGC
rnacentral:rRNA from 1 species